UACGAAGGGUGCAAACGUUGCUCGGAAUUAUUGGGCGUAAAGCGCACGUAGGCGGCUUUUCAAGUCGGAUGUGAAAUCCCUCGGCUUAACCAAGGAAGUGCAUCCGAAACUGGAGAGCUUGAGUACUUAAGAGGAUCGCGGAAUUCCCGGUGUAGAGGUGAAAUUCGUAGAUAUCGGGAGGAACACCAGUGGCGAAGGCGACUUCCUGGCCUGUUCUUGACGCUGAGGCGCGAAAGCUAGGGUAGCAAACGGG
rnacentral:rRNA from 1 species